rnacentral:rRNA from 1 species
UACGUAGGGGGCAAGCGUUGUCCGGAAUCAUUGGGCGUAAAGAGCGUGUAGGCGGCCCGGUAAGUCCGCUGUGAAAGUCCAGGGCUCAACCCUGGAAAGCCGGUGGAUACUGUCGGGCUCGAGUCCGGAAGAGGCGAGUGGAAUUCCUGGUGUAGCGGUGAAAUGCGCAGAUAUCAGGAGGAACACCGAUGGCGAAGGCAGCUCGCUGGGACGGUACUGACGCUGAGACGCGAAAGCGUGGGGAGCAAACAGG